AACGAACGCUGGCGGCAUGCCUAACACAUGCAAGUCGAACGAGACCUUCGGGUCUAGUGGCGCACGGGUGCGUAACGCGUGGGAACCUGCCCUUAGGUUCGGAAUAACUCCCCGAAAGGGGUGCUAAUACCGGAUAAUGUCUUCGGACCAAAGAUUUAUCGCCUUUGGAUGGGCCCGCGUUGGAUUAGCUAGUUGGUAGGGUAAAAGCCUACCAAGGCGACGAUCCAUAGCUGGUCUGAGAGGAUGAUCAGCCACACUGGGACUGAGACACGGCCCAGACUCCUACGGGAGGCAGCAGUGGGGAAUAUUGGACAAUGGGGUAAAGCCUGAUCCAGCACUGCCGCGUGAGUGAUGAAGGCCUUAGGGUUGUAAAGCUCUUUUACCCGGGAUGAUAAUGACAGUACCGGGAGAAUAAGCUCCGGCUAACUCCGUG
rnacentral:rRNA from 1 species